rnacentral:rRNA from 1 species
UGGGGAAUUUUGGACAAUGGGCGAAAGCCUGAUCCAGCAAUGCCGCGUGUGUGAAGAAGGCCUUCGGGUUGUAAAGCACUUUUGUCCGGAAAGAAAUCCUCUGGGUUAAUACCUCGGGGGGAUGACGGUACCGGAAGAAUAAGCACCGGCUAACUACGUGCCAGCAGCCGCGGUAAUACGUAGGGUGCAAGCGUUAAUCGGAAUUACUGGGCGUAAAGCGUGCGCAGGCGGUUUUGUAAGACGGAUGUGAAAUCCCCGGGCUUAACCUGGGAACUGCAUUCGUGACUGCAAGGCUAGAGUAUGGCAGAGGGGGGCAGAAUUCCACGUGUAGCAGUGAAAUGCGUAGAGAUGUGGAGGAAUACCGAUGGCGAAGGCAGCCCCCUGGGCCAAAUACUGACGCUCAUGCACGAAGCGUGGGGGAGCAAACAGGAUUAGAUACCCUGGUAGUCCACGCCUAAACGAUGUCAACUAGUUGUUGGGGAUUCAUUUCCUUAGUAACGUAGCUAACGCGUGAAGUUGACCGCCUGGGGAGUACGGUCGCAAGAUUAAAACUCAAAUGAAUUGACGGGGUCAUAGCUGUUUCC